rnacentral:tRNA from 2 species
GCCUCCUUAGCUCAGCUGGCCAGAGCACCGCUCUUGUAAAGCGGGGGUCGUCGGUUCGAACCCGACAGGGGGCUCAA